rnacentral:rRNA from 1 species
GGCUCCUUCGGGGGUACUCGAGCGGCGAACGGGUGAGUAACACGUGAGUAAUCUGCCCUUCACUUGGGGAUAACCACCGGAAACGGUGGCUAAUACCCGAUACGACGGCUCCUCGCAUGAGGUGGUUGUGGAAAGUUUUUUCGGUGGAGGAUGUGCUCGCGGCCUAUCAGCUUGUUGGUGGGGUAAUGGCCCACCAAGGCUUCGACGGGUAGCCGGCCUGAGAGGGUGACCGGCCACACUGGGACUGAGACACGGCCCAGACUCCUACGGGAGGCAGCAGUGGGGAAUAUUGGACAAUGGGCGCAAGCCUGAUCCAGCCAUGCCGCGUGGGUGAAGAAGGCCUUAGGG